rnacentral:tRNA from 1 species
GUUGAAGUAGCUCAAUUGAUUAGAGCGUAUGGCUGUUAAUCACAAUGUCGAAAGUUCAAACAUUUUUUCUAGCG